UACGGAGGAUGCAAGCGUUAUCCGGAAUUAUUGGGCGUAAAGCGUCCGCAGGCGGCAGUUCAAGUCUGCUGUCAAAGACCGGGGCUUAACUUCGGAAAGGCAGUGGAAACUGAACAGCUAGAGUAUGGUAGGGGCAGAGGGAAUUCCUGGUGUAGCGGUGAAAUGCGUAGAGAUCAGGAAGAACAUCGGUGGCGAAGGCGCUCUGCUGGACCAUAACUGACACUCAGGGACGAAAGCUAGGGGAGCGAAUGGG
rnacentral:rRNA from 1 species